rnacentral:rRNA from 1 species
GCGUGAGUGAUGAAGGCUCUAGGGUUGUAAAGCUCUUUCGCCGAUGAAGAUAAUGACGGUAGUCGGAGAAGAAGCCCCGGCUAACUUCGUGCCAGCAGCCGCGGUAAUACGAAGGGGGCUAGCGUUGUUCGGAAUUACUGGGCGUAAAGCGCACGUAGGCUGUGCCGCAAGUCAGGGGUGAAAUCCCGGAGCUCAACUCCGGAACUGCCUUUGAAACUGCGGUGCUGGAAUCUCAGAGGGGGUGGCGGAAUUCCAAAUGUAGGAGUGAAAUCCGU